rnacentral:rRNA from 1 species
CAGUCGCCGCGGGAAUACAGAGGGUGCGAGCGUUAAUCGGAAUUACUGGGCGUAAAGCGUGCGCAGGCGGUUAUAUAAGACAGAUGUGAAAUCCCCGGGCUCAACCUGGGAACUGCAUUUGUGACUGUAUAGCUAGAGUACGGCAGAGGGGGAUGGAAUUCCGCGUGUAGCAGUGAAAUGCGUAGAUAUGCGGAGGAACACCGAUGGCGAAGGCAAUCCCCUGGGCCUGUACUGACGCUCAUGCACGAAAGCGUGGGGAGCAAACAGGAUUAGAGACCCCCGUAGUCCCUGUCUCUUAUAC